rnacentral:misc_RNA from 1 species
UUGCGGUGCCUGCUGCUUGAG